AACGAACGCUGGCGGCAGGCUUAACACAUGCAAGUCGAGCGCCCCGCAAGGGGAGCGGCAGACGGGUGAGUAACGCGUGGGAACGUACCUUUUGGUUCGGAACAACUCCGUGAAACUGGAGCUACUACCGGAUAAGCCCUAACGGGGAAAGAUUUAUCGCCGAAAGAUCGGCCCGCGUCUGAUUAUCUAGUUGGUGAGGUAACGGCUCACCAAGGCGACGAUCAGUAGCUGGUCUGAGAGGAUGAUCAGCCACACUGGGACUGAGACACGGCCCAGACUCCUACGGGAAGCAGCAGUGGGGAAUAUUGGACAAUGGGCGCAAGCCUGAUCCAGCCAUGCCGCGUGAGUGAUGAAGGCCUUAGGGUUGUAAAGCUCUUUUGUCCGGGAAGAUAAUGACUGUACCGGAAGAAUAAGCCCCGGCUAACUUCGUG
rnacentral:rRNA from 1 species